rnacentral:rRNA from 1 species
GAUGAACGCUGGCGGCGUGCCUAAUACAUGCAAGUCGAGCGAACAGACGAGGAGCUUGCUCCUCUGACGUUAGCGGCGGACGGGUGAGUAACACGUGGAUAACCUACCUCUAAGACUGGGAUAACUUCGGGAAACCGGAGCUAAUACCGGAUACUAUAUUGAACCGCAUGGUUCAAUAGUGCAAGACGGCUUUGCUGUCACUUAUCGAUGGAUCCGCGCCGCAUUAGCUAGUUGGUAAGGUAACGGCUUACCAAGGCGACGAUGCGUAGCCGACCUGAGAGGGUGAUCGGCCACACUGGAACUGAGACACGGUCCAGACUCCUACGGGAGGCAGCAGUAGGGAAUCUUCCGCAAUGGGCGAAAGCCUGACGGAGCAACGCCGCGUGAGUGAUGAAGGUCUUCGGAUCGUAAAACUCUGUUAUUAGGGAAGAACAAAUGUGUAAGUAACUAUGCACGUCUUGACGGUACCUAAUCAGAAAGCCACGGCUAACUACGUG